rnacentral:rRNA from 1 species
ACUAAGCCAUAUUAAUUAGGGUUGGUAAAUUUCGUGCCAGCCACCGCGGUCAUACGAUUAACCCAAGUUAAUAGGCAUACGGCGUAAAGUGUGUUAAAGCACUAUACUAAAUAAAGUUAAAUUCUAAUUAAGCUGUAAAAAGCCAUAAUUGCAACAAAAAUAUAUAACGAAAGUAACUUUACAACCGCUGAAACACGAUAGCUAGGACCCAAACUGGGAUUAGAUACCCCACUAUGCCUAGCCUUAAACACAAAUAGUUAUGCAAACAAAACUAUUCGCCAGAGUACUACCGGCAAUAGCUUAAAACUCAAAGGACUUGGCGGU